AUGGAGAACUGCUGUGUGCAAAAGCUGGCCAGCGCCCUCGGGACGCCCGACGUGCCCACCCGGUACGUCGUGCGCGGGCACCAGGACCAGCAGCUCACCACGACGGUCGUAGCGCCGGUCCCUGUCAUCAACCUCAGCCUCCUUUCCAAGCAGGACGGAGGCGCUGCUGAUGAGGCGGCGAAGCUCCGCUCAGCUAUCGAUUCCUGGGGCCUCUUCCUGAUCAGUAACCACGGCGUAGACGCGGCGGUGAUGGACGGCAUGAUGGCCGCGUGCAGGGAGUUUUUCCGGCAGCCGCUUGAAGAGAAGCAGAGGCAAAGCAACCUGAUCGGAGAUGAUCAGUACGAGGGGUACGGGAACUACGAGGGGUAUGGGAACGACCAGGUGUCCUCGCCGGACGAGACCCUAGACUGGACUGACCGUCUCUACCUCAAGGUGGAGCCCGAGGAUGAGCGGCGCAUUGCCCUCUGGCCAGCGCAUCCCGAAGGCUUCAGGGAUGUUCUGCACGAGUUCACGAAGAAAUGUGGGGCAGUGAAGGACAAUGUGCUCCGGGCAAUGGCGAAGCUGCUGGAGCUUGACGACAACGACUACUUCGUGGACCAGCUUGUGGAGAAGCCUUUCACUAACGCUCGAUGCAGUUACUACCCGGUGUGUCCGAGGCCGGAGCUCGUGUUCGGCCUCACGCCCCACUCUGAUGGAACCGUUGUUGCUGUCCUCAUGGUUGAUGACAGCGUUGGUGGCCUGCAAGUUCUCAGAGAUGGGGUCUGGUGGGAUGUACCAAUCGUACCUCACACACUGCUGAUGAUUAUAGGUGAUCAAAUGGAGAUAAUGAGCAAUGGGAUCUUUAGGAGCCCUGUGCAUAGGGUUAUGACAAACGCAAAGAAAGAGAGGAUAUCGGUGGUUCUAGACUACUCUGUUGAUCCUGAGAAAGAAAUCGAGCCAUCGGCUCAACUGGUCAAUGAGAAGAGACCAGCCUUGUACAGAAAAGUGAAGGUCAAAGACUACAUUGUGGCACAUUACACUCAUUUUUCUCAAGGGAAAGAAGUUGUUAUGGGUAAACUAAAGAUAUAA
rnacentral:rRNA from 1 species